rnacentral:rRNA from 1 species
AUACGGAAGGUCCGGGCGUUAUCCGGAUUUAUUGGGUUUAAAGGGAGCGCAGGCGGAGAUGCAAGCGUGACGUCAAAUUUCGGGGCUCAACCCCGUCUCGCGUCGCGAACUGCGUCCCUUGGUUGCGGGAAGGGGAGGCGGAACUCGUGGUGUAGCGGUGAAAUGCAUAGAUAUCACGAAGAACUCCGAUCGCGAAGGCAGCCUUCCGGCCCGUCAACGACGCUCAUGCUCGAAGGUGCGGGUAUCAAACAGGAUUAGAUACCCUGGUAGUCCGCACAAUAAACGAUGGACACCCGCGGUUUGGCCUGAAUGGCUGAGCCGCCAAGCGAAAGCGUUAAGUGUCCCACCUGGGGAGUACGCCGGCAACGGUGAAACUCAAAUGAAUUGACGGGG